AACGAACGCUGGCGGCAUGCCUAACACAUGCAAGUCGAACGAGACCUUCGGGUCUAGUGGCGCACGGGUGCGUAACGCGUGGGAACCUGCCCUUAGGUUCGGAAUAACUCCCCGAAAGGGGUGCUAAUACCGGAUAAUGUCUUCGGACCAAAGAUUUAUCGCCUUUGGAUGGGCCCGCGUUGGAUUAGCUAGUUGGUAGGGUAAAAGCCUACCAAGGCGACGAUCCAUAGCUGGUCUGAGAGGAUGAUCAGCCACACUGGGACUGAGACACGGCCCAGACUCCUACGGGAGGCAGCAGUGGGGAAUAUUGAACAAUGGGCGAAAGCCUGAUCCAGCAAUGCCGCGUGAGUGAUGGAGGCCUUAGGGUUGUAAAGCUCUUUUACCCGGGAUGAUAAUGACAGUACCGGGAGAAUAAGCUCCGGCUAACUCCGUG
rnacentral:rRNA from 1 species